AGCGAACGCUGGCGGCAGGCUUAACACAUGCAAGUCGAGCGGGCGUAGCAAUACGUCAGCGGCAGGCGGGUGAGUAACGCGUGGGAACAUACCUUUGGUUCGGUAACAACACAGGGAACUUGUGCUAAUACCGGAUAAGCCUUACGGGGAAGAUUAUCGCCGAAGAUUGGCCCGCGUCUGAUUAGCUAGUUGGUGAGGUAACGGCUCACCAAGGCGACGAUCAGUAGCUGGCUUGAGAGGAUGAUCAGCCACCAUUGGGACUGAGACACGGCCCAAACUCCUACGGGAGGCAGCAGUGGGGAAUAUUGGACAAUGGGCGCAAGCCUGAUCCAGCCAUG
rnacentral:rRNA from 1 species